UACGUAGGGUGCGAGCGUUUGUCCGGAAUUAUUGGGCGUAAAGAGCUUGUAGGCGGUUUGUCGCGUCUGCCGUGAAAUUUCGGGGCUCAACCCCGAACUUGCGGUGGGUACGGGCAGACUAGAGUGUGGUAGGGGAGACUGGAAUUCCUGGUGUAGCGGUGGAAUGCGCAGAUAUCAGGAGGAACACCAAUGGCGAAGGCAGAUCUCUGGGCCGUAACUGACGCUGAGGAGCGAAAGCAUGGGGAGCGAACAGG
rnacentral:rRNA from 1 species